GACACAGUUCCUGCCUCUGCUAGGGACUUCUUUCCCCCCUAAAAAGGGUCUCCGUGCUCCACGACUGGGUUACCUUCUGUGCAAGAUGGGAUCCUGCUCAUGUAACCUAAUGUCGCAAACUUGAUGGUGGGAUUUUGAGAUUAUCAAGGCCGCUGAGAUGAGAACACAUGUUUUUCCUACUGCAUUAAGCGUUUUGAAUGUAUGCUAAAAAUGUUAAUACGUUAUUCAAGGGACUGGAAUUUUUCUUUCAGGUAGGAUGCCUUUAGGUUGUUUGUGCUUCUCACACAACUGCAGCUUUGCCCUGGAGUCAGAGCUGCAGCAAGGCUGGGGCGAGAGGGACAUCUGUCCGCUGAGGAAGGCCCCAAAUGCGUGCAAAUACGCCAGACCCCCCCAGCCGCUGUGGUGACCUGGAAAAACAGCCUGGAGAUUUACAGUGAGCAGGAGGUGACGGCAGCAAUGGGAAGGAGCCCAAAAAGGAGGCGACAGAGUGCCCUGGGCACCCAGCGGGCACCAGGAAUAAAACCUCUGCAAAUAGAAAGGGCCGGUGGGGCCCCGUCACCAUGGCAUGAAGUGGCAAGGAGGCUCCCCGGGGGGCCGGGAAGGUCCCGGGGCGGCACAGACCCUGCCGCACAGCCUGGCAGCUGCACCAAGGCUGUGCGGGAGGGCGGAUGGGCACCACGAGCCAGGCGCCGUGCUGCCUGCCGGCCAUCGGGUGCACAAAUCCCAGAGCCCAUUUGGAGACUUUUGGUAUUUCUCCCCUUUCUGGCUUUAUCACGUAUGGUCAUUUCAUUUGUAUUGCAAAAAAUUCUUGUAUUGGCUUGUCCUCAUCCUGAAUCUGCAGUGAGCCAUCAGACCGAGUUUUCCUCCUGAAGGGUACCCACAGCUAGACACUGGUGUUUUGCAGUAUCAUUUGAACAAGGGUCAGGUUUCUCUUUGGAUUUCUAAACUCCAGUUUAACUCCAGUUGACCUGCAGGAGGGCCGAUAGCAGAGCCGCCCUCCAGGUAGCUGAGCUCAGCGUGCAGGCGCAGGAUGUCUUGCUGGCUCUUGGCAGAGUCUUUGCUGCACAUCCACCGGCAGCGUUGCAGGGGCACAGAGCACGCUACCAGCGCCGGCGUGCAGUGCUGGGGAAAAAAUCCCACGUGCAGAGAAGUGGAAACCGCGUGGCUCUGCAGAAGGAAGUGGGGAAGAAUUUUGGGGGCAUCACCAGGCUGAGCAGGACCCUGUGAGCAUUUCCGAACCAUGCUGUGCACUGCAGAGCUCAGUGACUUGAAUGGGACAUGCGUGUGCUCAGUCUGCUCUGCCAUCCUCAGCACCUGGCAGGAUUGUGCCCAUAUUUUGACUCCUAAACAUGGCCUCAGUGUGGCCUGGCGUCGAUGUCAGCCCUUGCAGCAAGCAGAGCAUGUGGUUCAGCCUGUCUGCUUGCAGCUUGCUUUUUUCCAUCCUCUCGCGGUUCUAUCACUACCAUAAAAUGCAGGUCUGA